GGGUGAUUAGCUCAGCUGGGAGAGCACCUCCCUUACAAGGAGGGGGUCGGAGCACGACCUUGCCAAGGUCGGGGUCGCGAGUUCGAGUCUCGUUUCCCGCUCCA
rnacentral:tRNA from 1 species